GACGAACCGUGCGAACGUUGUUCGGAAUCACUGGGCUUAAAGGGCGCGUAGGCGGGGUGGCAAGUCUGUGGUGAAAUCCUCCGGCUCAACCGGAGAACUGCCGUGGAUACUGCCAUUCUCGAGGGGUGAAGGGGCAUGUGGAACUCAGGGUGGAGCGGUGAAAUGCGUAGAUAUCGUCUGGAACGCCAAAGGUGAAAACAGCUCGCUGGGGUUGUGCUGACGCUGAGACACGAAAGCCAGGGGAGCGAACGGG
rnacentral:rRNA from 1 species